rnacentral:tRNA from 1 species
UAGUGUAAUGGUUAGCACUCUGAACUUUGAAUCCAGCGAUCCGAGUUCACAUCUCGG